rnacentral:rRNA from 1 species
GAGGCGAACUGGGGGAACUGAAACAUCUAAGUACCCCGAGGAAAAGAAAUCAACCGAGAUUCCGAAAGUAGCGGCGAGCGAAAUUGGACUAGCCCUUAAGCUUUACACGCGUUAGACGAACGGUCUGGAAAGUCCGACGAUACAGGGUGAUAGUCCCGUAGUUGACGACGUGUGUUCAGUGAAAUCGAGUAGGGCGGGACACGUGAUAUCCUGUCUGAAUAUGGGGGGACCAUCCUCCAAGGCUAAAUACUACUGACUGACCGAUAGUGAACCAGUACCGUGAGGGAAAGGCGAAAAGAACCCCUGUGAGGGGAGUGAAAUAGAACCUGAAACCGUGUACGUACAAGCAGUAGGAGCACCUUCGUGGUGUGACUGCGUACCUUUUGUAUAAUGGGUCAGCGACUUAUAUUCA